CCCCGCACAAGCAGCGGAGCGUGUGGUUUAAUUCGAUGCUACACGAAGAACCUUACCAGGGUUUGACAUGCAAGUGGUAGGAAACCGAAAGGUGACCGACCCUUCGGGGAGCUUGCACAGGUGCUGCAUGGCUGUCGUCAGCUCGUGUCGUGAGAUGUUGGGUUAAGUCCCGCAACGAGCGCAACCCUUACCCUUAGUUGCCAGCGGGUAAUGCCGGGCACUCUAAGGGGACCGCCCCGGAUAACGGGGAGGAAGGCGGGGAUGACGUCAAGUCAGCAUGGCCUUUAUGUCCAGGGCUACACACGUGCUACAAUGGGCGAUACAGAGGGAAGCAAGGCCGCAAGGUAGAGCUAAUCCCUAAAGUCGUCCUCAGUUCGGAUUGCAGGCUGCAACUCGCCUGCAUGAAGUCGGAAUCGCUAGUAAUCGCGGAUCAGCUACGCCGCGGUGAAUACGUUCUCGGGCCUU
rnacentral:rRNA from 1 species